rnacentral:rRNA from 1 species
CUACGGGCCGCUGCAGUGAGGAAUAUUGGUCAAUGGAGGCAACUCUGAACCAGCCAUGCCGCGUGAAGGAUGACGGCCCUAUGGGUUGUAAACUUCUUUUGAAUAGGAAGAAACUUAUCUACGUGUAGAUAACUGACGGUACUAUUAGAAUAAGGAUCGGCUAACUCCGUGCCAGCAGCCGCGGUAAUACGGAGGAUCCAAGCGUUAUCCGGAUUCAUUGGGUUUAAAGGGUCCGUAGGCGGGUCUUUAAGUCAGUGGUGAAAGCCGACAGCUCAACUGUCGAACUGCCAUGGAUACUGGAGACCUUGAGUACAAAUGAAGUAGGCGGAAUGAGUCAUGUAGCGGUGAAAUGCAUAGAUAUGACUCAGAACACCGAUUGCGAAGGCAGCUUACUAACAUGUAACUGACGCUGAGGGACGAAAGCGUGGGGAGCGAACAGGAUUAGAUACCCCAUAGUC